rnacentral:rRNA from 1 species
GAUUCAGCGGCGGACGGGUGAGUAAUGCCUAGGAAUCUGCCUGGUAGUGGGGGACAACGUCUCGAAAGGGACGCUAAUACCGCAUACGUCCUACGGGAGAAAGUGGGGGCUCUUCGGACCUCACGCUAUCAGAUGAGCCUAGGUCGGAUUAGCUAGUUGGUGAGGUAAUGGCUCACCAAGGCGACGAUCCGUAACUGGUCUGAGAGGAUGAUCAGUCACACUGGAACUGAGACACGGUCCAGACUCCUACGGGAGGCAGCAGUGGGGAAUAUUGGACAAUGGGCGAAAGCCUGAUCCAGCCAUGCCGCGUGUGUGAAGAAGGUCUUCGGAUUGUAAAGCACUUUAAGUUGGGAGGAAGGGCAGUAAGCGAAUACCUUGCUGUUUUGACGUUACCGACAGAAUAAGCACCGGCUAACUCUGUGCCAGCA